UACGGGGGGGGCAAGCGUUGUUCGGAAUUACUGGGCGUAAAGGGCUCGUAGGUGGCCAACUAAGUCAGACGUGAAAUCCCUCAGCUUAACUGGGGAACUGCGUCUGAUACUGGAUGGCUUGAGUUUGGGAGAGGGAUGCGGAAUUCCAGGUGUAGCGGUGAAAUGCGUAGAUAUCUGGAGGAACACCGGUGGCGAAGGCGGCAUCCUGGACCGGCAUUGACGCUGAGGCGCGAAAGCCAGGGGGGCAAACGGG
rnacentral:rRNA from 1 species